UUCACAAUACCUCCGGCAUUGGGGCAUUCUGUGGUUAAUCAAUUGUUACCAGAUAGUCCUUCAAACAUCCUGACUUUGUACUUUUGACCAUCUCUGGCAUUGGGACAUUCCAUGGUUAAUCAGUUGCUACCAGACGGCUCUUUAAACAUCCUGACUUUGUUCUGGGACUUAUGUCAGCAACUCUUGAGAAUUUUGAAACUUAGGCCUGUUUCAAGCUGGAGUGAGGGGCUUGCUUGAAAUGGGGGUGCUUUGGAUCUUCAACUUCAUUGAAUAUUAAUUGUGUCCUGAAAGCCAUACCCCCUAAUACUAAUAACGUAAUUAUAUGAUUGAAUUUCCAACACUUGAGCUUUGGGAAAAACACACAAACCAAGAAGUAAUACUGUACCCCAUAACUUGAGAUGGUGGCGCAUACCUGUGAUCUCAACAAGAGAAUUGGAAGUUCAGUGUCAUCCUCAGUUGCACAUGAAGCUCAAGGGCAGCCUGGGUUGAGGAUCUUGUUUCACAGGAGCAAUAACAACAGCAGCAACAAAACUACUCUUGAAGAGUAGCCUGUUCAAAAGAGAGAAUGCAAAAGUAACUUUGUGCUGGAUAAACUAAACAUUCCCUCGAGCUGGAUGAUCAAGGUUCAAAUCAAGAAUGGAUCAAGACGUGAGUCCUCAGCUGUUCCUUCCAUCAUGCCUUUGUGUUACCAUCAUAGACUCUGACCUUCUGAAACCAUAAAGCCAAUUAAAUAUUGUUUUAUAAUU